CUGUGGCUUAACCAUAGUACGCUUUGGAAACUGUUUAACUUGAGUGCAGAAGGGGAGAGUGGAAUUCCAUGUGUAGCGGUGAAACGCGUAGAUAUAUGGAGGAACACCGGUGGCGAAAGCGGCUCUCUGGUCUGUAACUGACGCUGAGGCUCGAAAGCGUGGGGAGCAAACAGG
rnacentral:rRNA from 1 species